UACGUAGGGGGCAAGCGUUGUCCGGAUUUAUUGGGCGUAAAGAGCUCGUAGGUGGCUCGGUAAGUCGGGUGUGAAAUUUCGAGGCUCAACCUCGAAACGCCACCUGAUACUGCCGUGGCUUGAGUCCGGUAGGGGAGCGUGGAAUUCCUGGUGUAGCGGUGAAAUGCGCAGAUAUCAGGAGGAACACCAGCGGCGAAGGCGGCGCUCUGGGCCGGUACUGACACUGAGGAGCGAAAGCGUGGGGAUCAAACAGG
rnacentral:rRNA from 1 species